UGAGGAAUUAUGCGCAAUGGGGGCAACCCUGACGCUGCGACGCCGCGUGGGUGAUGAAGGUCUUCGGAUCGUAAAACCCUGUCGAGAGGGGCGAAAGAGCGAGGUGUUAACACCGCUUCGCUUUGACGGUACCUCUGGAGGAAGCCCCGGCUAACUCCGUGCCAGCAGCCGCGGUAAUACGGAGGGGGCAAGCGUUGUUCGGAAUUACUGGGCGUAAAGCGCGCGUAGGCGGUUGGGUAAGUCAGAUGUGAAAGCCCCCAGCUCAACUGGGGAACUGCGUCUGAUACUGCUCGGCUUGAGUCCGAUAGGGGAUGGCAGAAUUCCCGGUGUAGCGGUGGAAUGCGUAGAUAUCGGGAGGAAUACCGAUGGCGAAGGCGGCCAUCUGGGUCGGUACUGACGCUGAGGCGCGAAAGCUAGGGGAGCAAACAGG
rnacentral:rRNA from 1 species